GACGAACGCUGGAGGCGUGCUUAACACAUGCAAGUCGAACGGAAAGGCCUGCUUUCCCUUGUGGAUUGCGGGUACUCGAGUGGCGAACGGGUGAGUAACACGUGAGUGAUCUGCCCCCAACUUGGGUAUAAGCCUGGGAAACUGGGUCUAAUUCCCGAUAGGACUGCAGGGUGGUGCCUGUGGUGGAAAACGAUUUUCUAGUGGUUGGGGAUGAGCUCGCGGCCUAUCAGCUUGUUGGUGGGGUAAUGGCCUACCAAGGCGGCGACGGGUAGCCGGCCUGGGAGGGUGGACGGCCCCAUUGGGACUGGGAUACGGCCCAGACUCCUACGGGAGGCAGCAGUGGGGAAUAUUGCACCAUGGGCGGAAGCCUGAUGCAGCGACGCCGGGUGGGGGAUGACGGCCUUCGGGUUGUAAACUCCUUUCGACCGCGAGGAAGCCACCUGGUUGGAAGGGUGGUGACGGUAGUGGUAGAAGAAGCACCGGCUAACUACGUG
rnacentral:rRNA from 1 species